GUGCCUCCCACUCUGUUCAGAAGCCACCGCGUCCCCCAUUCCCAAACCGCUCCCCCAGCUCCGGGAACCCCGCCCCUGCUAGGAGACGAUGCUGGGUCCCCAGAUGCUCGAGGGGCUCAGCUCAGGGUGGGGGCGAGGGGCUCCAAGGGCUGGGGCUUCGGGAACUUCUCCCCGCGACCUGCUCCUGGAGGCUGGGAGCAUCGAAACAUCCCGGGGCCGGGCGCCUUCGAGGACCUAGGGUGGCCAGGGCUCUCGGGGACGACGCGGAGUCGCAGGAGCGAGACUUCUGUCGCUCCCCACCCGCUGCGGGGCUUUUGUGCGCCGGCCCCACCCGGCGGUGAGUCACCGCGCAAGACCGGGAAGGCUAGAACGCGCCCGGAACAGCCGCGCCCGGCCGGCUGCACUUCAGAGCGUUCCGCGCGGCCGCCGGGGGAGCGGAGCCCCGCCCACGACACGCCCCCCGGGGGAGGAGCAGCGGCGCACCAGGCGGUGCACGUGGGCGUGAAGUCGGGGAACCGGGCAGUGUGCGCGCGCGCGCGACCCCGCCCGCGAGCCCCGUUUCCCGCUUGGGCACAGCAGGACUUUCCGUUCCGGGACGGAGGCCGGCCUUUUGGUCCCACAGGGGCGUAGAGGGACUAGACUUCCCGCAAACUUAGUGCCCCCCCCCAACUCCAGCACGUGUCCACGCACGCGACACCAGCCCUGGGUACGCCCGGCUCCUGGGUGACUCACAGUUGCCACAGGAUGAGGCGCGGUCCUGGCGCCAGGGCUGGCGGCCCCCUUCAUCCGGACCCCCUGCCACACCGCGGCUGGUGACGCCGGCUGCCCCUUCCCCACCUCCGCGUCUUUGCACGCGUUAUUCCCUCCACCCGGGAGGAUCUUACUGUCUUGGGACGAGCACAUAGGUAGCCAAGCCGUUUCCAUUCAAAAAUAUUGAUUACACUUCCCAGUUCUGGGGAAACAAGAGGGAAAAGCGUAGUCUUUCCUUCCCGCGUUGACUCAAGGCCGGCUUCCCGAGGGGUCUUCCACGGCCCUCUGGCGGGGAGCAACGGUCGUGUGGCGCCCCGCUCUGGCCCAGGGCCCUCUGGGGGUGCAGCUCUGCUCAAGUGACCUUUCUCUUCUCCCAUCUGGGAUCCCUCCCAAGGGUGCGACAGGUCUUCUCCCUCUCACCCUCAGCAUCUCCCAGCCUCACCCUAGGGCCAAGCCCUGUUCCAUUGUUUUCUUGUUUGCUGACUACCCAAAAGAAGGCCUCACCUAAUCUGCAAAAUGGGCCAAGGCAGCUCCCUCUGGCCUACAGGGAAGGUCCUCGAAGAGAUGACUGGGUAGUGUGGGGGUGCUUCCAGCAUCUCCAGGAGCCCCUGCCUCGAGGUGGGUGCCAGGGUCAGGAGACACCAUCUUGGGCCACACUAGGGGGAGGCCGGAGGGGCUGGAUUGGCAGAGCCCUCACAUCUUUUCUGGUGUGCGCCCUUCCGCGGUGACUCAGAGAGUAAUCCCCAUGGGCCCAGCAAUCCCUCUUCACCCACUGCAACUCGGGAAAUUGCCUUAGGGAUGGGUGUGGGACCCAGGUCUGGCUAAGAAGAGGGGAGAUCACAUCUGAGGGCCAAGGAACUUCUAGGAAAGAUUUUCCAUCCUAAAAAAAAAAGAGGGGUACCUGGGUGGCUCAGUCGUUGGGCGUCUGCCUUCGGCUCAGGUCAUGAUCCCAGGGUCCUGGGAUCAAGCCCUGCAUCGGGCUCCCUGCUCAGCGGGAAGCCUGCUUCUCCCUCUCCCACUCCCCCGCUUGUGUUCCCUCUCUGGCUGUGUCUCUCUCCGUCAAAUAAAUAAAUAAAAUCUUUAAAAAAAAAAAAAAAAAAAGAGAGAGAGAGAGAGACAAAUGAAGAGGAAAGAGUCCUCCCUCUUCCACUGGACAUUUUGCGGCUGGAAACGAUGCUUGGAGCUGUGGUGGCCACUUGUAACCAAAGGAGGAACAAGCUUAAGGAAAAACCAACUUGCUGAUGAGGGCAGAGCAGAAAUAUAGAAAGAACCUGAGUCCCAAGUUACUUUAUCCAGUCCCUAAAUUAACCAGUCCUUCAGCUGCCACAUGCUAGCAAUGGAUGCAGUUUCCCUCGGUGUUUGAGCCACUGUGAAUGAGAUUUUCUCUUGCAAACAAAAGCUUCAAUCCCCAUGUUACCUGGAUGCCAGCAUCCUGCCGGGCUCACCCACCUCCCCAGCCUCCUCUCUCAACACCCUGUCCCUCUCUGCCUCAGCCACACUGACCUUUUUUCAUUCCCCUUGACAUCAUGCUCCUGCUCACCACAGGGUCUUUGCAUGUGCUGUCUUUGCUACCUGGAAUGCUCUCCAUCCUCCCCCACAAACCAUUCUUGUCUAGAGCACCUACUUUUUCAUUCUUCAGGUUCCAGCUCCCCUGUCCACCCUCCAACACAUACACUCAGAAUGGGUCCAGCCACCACUGAUACACUGUCACACGUACUCCUUUUCCACAGUUAUUCUAAUGAGUCCCUUUCCUGUGUGCUUCUCUGUGAUGGUUGUCCAUGGGGCUGCCACCAAGUCCCUUCUACUGAUGAGUGCACACCCAGUGCCAAGAGUGGUGAUCUGGAACAUCUGCCAAACGAAACAGCCAUGACUGUUCUUUGGUUCUCCUACUGGAUAACAACGAGUUCACAUAUUGUCAGAUUCACCAUGGGUGCCAUUAUUGGGUGCAGCCCCUUCCACUCUCCUCCUGCCCCAUGCAGCUGGCCCUCCCAUGGCACCAUGCAAAUGCUUAUUUCUGUGUGCCUCUAUUCUCCCCAACAUUGUGAGCCCUGGGGAUGCGAGUGGAGGCAAGGCCAAGUUGGACUUGGUUUUGCUCCAUGACUGGGACACAGUGGGCAUAGUACCAGGGGAACCCAUGGGAGCCUUUAGGAGCCCAGGCCUGUCUCCAUGAGGUUCGUGAAGCUAGUUGAGCCCAGACUGGCUGAAGAGGAGACGGCUGUGGCCACUGUACCUGUUGGGUAUUGAUCUAGGCUCCAAAGAUCAAUUCUUCCAUUAGCAAUUUCCCUAAAUAAUUCCUGAUUCUCCAGAUUUCAGUUCCUCAACUAGCCAAACACAAGGUCACUAACAUUACAUUUUGGUUCCCCUUGGAUUCUCAGCUCUGAUUCCUGUCAAGUUACAAAUUACAUAAGAGACAAGAAGCAGAGUUUUCUAUUUUCCACAUUCUCUCACUCUUUUUUUAAAAAAGAUUUAUUUAUUUAUUUUAGAGAGAAAGAGACCUUGCAUGUGCCUGAGCAGGGGCAGAAGUAGAGGAAGAGAGAGAGAGGGAGACAGACAGACUCCCUGCUGAGCACAGAGCCCAACACAGAGUUUGAUCCCACGACCCUGAGAUCAGGACCCUGAGAUCAGGACCUGAGCUGAAAUCAGGAGUCAGAGGAUUAACGGAAUGAGCCACUCAGAACUGGUAAUUGCUAAGUUGGAAAAUUGUUGUUUGAAAACUUGGCUCUCCGUGACUUGGUGACACAGCCCAGGUGGUCCUUUGCCAAACUGGGUCGUUGAGCAGAUUCCACUUGGAGGAUUAGUCGGCUCCUCCGAAGGCCUGAUGGUCCUGCCCCAAUGGCUGGACUUGAUCUUCUGACUCAGGACAGGCUGACACAGGUGCCUGUGUUCAAGGGCUGCUCCACGGGGGCCCAGUGUGAGCCAGGCCUCUUCCAAGAUGGGAUCGUUCUCACCUGAGUCAUCUUCAACCGCACGCAGGCAGUAACGUCGUUCCUGACAGUGGAAGAAAAGUGUAUCCAUGGGGCACUUGAGUGGCUCAGAUGGUUGGGCGUCCGCCUUCGGCUCGGGUCAUGAUCCCAGGGGCCUGGGAUCGAGCCCUGCAUCGGGCUCCCUGCUCCGCGGGAAGCCUGCUUCUCCCUCUCCCGCUCCCCCUGCUUGUGUUCCUGCUCUCGCUGUGUUUCUCUCUGUCAAAUAAAUAAAUAAAAUCUUUAAAAAGGGAAAGAAAA